AAAUUGAAGAGUUUGAUCAUGGCUCAGAUUGAACGCUGGCGGCAGGCCUAACACAUGCAAGUCGAACGGUAACAGGAAGCAGCUUGCUGCUUCGCUGACGAGUGGCGGACGGGUGAGUAAUGUCUGGGAAACUGCCUGAUGGAGGGGGAUAACUACUGGAAACGGUGGCUAAUACCGCAUAACGUCGCAAGACCAAAGAGGGGGACCUUCGGGCCUCUUGCCAUCAGAUGUGCCCAGAUGGGAUUAGCUAGUUGGUGAGGUAACGGCUCACCAAGGCGACGAUCCCUAGCUGGUCUGAGAGGAUGACCAGCCACACUGGAACUGAGACACGGUCCAGACUCCUACGGGAGGCAGCAGUGGGGAAUAUUGCACAAUGGGCGCAAGCCUGAUGCAGCCAUGCCGC
rnacentral:rRNA from 1 species